rnacentral:rRNA from 1 species
GAUGAACGCUGGCGGCGUGCCUAAUACAUGCAAGUCGAGCGAACAGACGAGGAGCUUGCUCCUUUGACGUUAGCGGCGGACGGGUGAGUAACACGUGGGUAACCUACCUAUAAGACUGGGAUAACUUCGGGAAACCGGAGCUAAUACCGGAUAAUAUUUCGAACCGCAUGGUUCGAUAGUGAAAGAUGGCUUUGCUAUCACUUAUAGAUGGACCUGCGCCGUAUUAGCUAGUUGGUAAGGUAACGGCUUACCAAGGCAACGAUACGUAGCCGACCUGAGAGGGUGAUCGGCCACACUGGAACUGAAACACGGUCCAGACUCCUACGGGAGGCAGCAGUAGGGAAUCUUCCGCAAUGGGCGAAAGCCUGACGGAGCAACGCCGCGUGAGUGAUGAAGGUCUUCGGAUCGUAAAACUCUGUUAUUAGGGAAGAACAAACGUGUAAGUAACUGUGCACGUCUUGACGGUACCUAAUCAGAAAGCCACGGCUAACUACGUG